CCUACGGGAGGCUGCAGUGGGGAAUAUUGGGCAAUGGGCGCAAGCCUGACCCAGCAACGCCGCGUGAAGGAAGAAGGCUUUCGGGUUGUAAACUUCUUUUCUCAGGGACGAGUAGAGUGACGGUACCUGAGGAAUAAGCCACGGCGAACUACGUGCCAGCAGCCGCGGUAAUACGUAGGUGGCAAGCGUUAUCCGGAUUUACUGGGUGUAAGGGGCGUGUAGGCGGGACUGCAAGUCAGAUGUGAAAACCACGGGCUCAACCUGUGGCCUGCAUUUGAAACUGUAGUUCUUGAGUACUGGAGAGGCAGACGGAAUUCCUAGUGUAGCGGUGAAAUGCGUAGAUAUUAGGAGGAACACCAGUGGCGAAGGCGGUCUGCUGGACAGCAACUGACGCUGAGGCGCGAAAGCGUGGGGAGCAAACAGGAUUAGAUACCCGAGUAGUC
rnacentral:rRNA from 1 species